UUCGCCCUUUUCCGGUUGAUCCUGCCGGACCUGACUGAUAUCGGAUUGGUACUAAGCCAUGUGAGUCGUUGUAGCAAUACAAGGCAUACGGCUCAGUAACACGUAGUCAAUCUAACCUAUGGACGGGGAUAACCUCGGGAAACUGAGGAUAAAACCCGAUAGAUCAUAAUGCCUGGAACGGUUUAUGGUUCAAAUGAUUCGUCGCCGUAGGGUGGGACUGCGGCCUAUCAGCUUGUUGGUGAGGUAAUGGCCCACCAAGGCUAUUACAGGUACGGGCUCUGAGAGGAGAAGCCCGGAGAUGGGUACUGAGACACGGACCCAGGCCCUAUGGGGCGCAGCAGGCGAGAAACCUUUGCAAUGUGCGCAAGCACGACAAGGUUAAUCCGAGUGUUUCCUGUUAAAGGAAUCUUUUGUUAGUUCUAAAACCACUAUUGAAUAAGGGGUGGGCAAGUUCUGGUGUCAGCCGCCGCGGUAAAACCAGCACCUCAAGUGGUCAGGAUGAUUAUUGGGCCUAAAGCAUCCGUAGCCUGUUCUGUAAGUUUCCGGUUAAAUCCAUUAGCUCAACUAAUGGGCUGCCGAAAAUACUGCAGAACUAGGGAGUGGGAGAGGUAGACGGUACUCGGUAGGAAGGGGUAAAAUCCUUUGAUCUAUUGAUGACCACCAGUGGCGAAGGCGGUCUACCAGAACACGUUCGA
rnacentral:rRNA from 1 species